GAUGAACGCUGGCGGCGUGCCUAAUACAUGCAAGUCGAGCGAACAGAUAAGGAGCUUGCUCCUUUGACGUUAGCGGCGGACGGGUGAGUAACACGUGGUUAACCUACCUUUAAGACUGGAAUAACUCCGGGAAACCGGGGCUAAUGCCGUAUAACAUUUAGAACCGCAUGGUUCUUAAUUGAAAGAUGGUUUUGCUAUCUCUUAUAGAUGUACCCUCGCCGUAUUAGCUAGUUGGUAAGGUAACGGCUUACCAAGGCAACGAUACGUAGCCGACCUGAGAGGGUGAUCGGCCACACUGGAACUGAGACACGGUCCAGACUCCUACGGGAGGCAGCAGUAGGGAAUCUUCCGCAAUGGGCGAAAGCAUGACGGAGCAACGCCGCGUGAGUGAUGAAGGUCUUCGGAUCGUAAAACUCUGUUAUUAGGGAAGAACAAAUGUGUAAGUAACUGUGAACGUCUUGACGGUACCUAAUCAGAAAGCCACGGCUAACUACGUG
rnacentral:rRNA from 1 species